CCCUACGCUGAGUUACCAGCACGUAAAGUGGGGACGUCUCAGUGGACUGCCGGCGACAAGCCGGAGGAGGUGGGGACGGACGUCAAGUCAUCAUGGCCCUCAUGUCCAGGGCGACACACGUGCUACAAUGGCCGGCACAACGGGAAGCGACGGCGCGAGUCGUAGCGGAUCCCUCAAAGCCGGUCCCAGUUCGGAUUGCAGUCUGCAACUCGACUGCAUGAAGCCGGAAUCGCUAGUAAUCGUGGAUCAGCCAAGCCGCGGUGAAUACGUUCCCGGGCCUU
rnacentral:rRNA from 1 species